rnacentral:lncRNA from 11 species
CUAUUUGACAAGAGCAGACUUGAUUAAUGCUCUGUUGCCCCACCUUUUCGGUUUUGUUAAAAUGCCUCAGUUUCUCUUUCUCCCACAUUCCCACUUUGACAGAAGCUUCCUAUUUAAUGUAAUUCCAUGUUUGUUGGUCUUACCCACACCCUGUCAUCUUGCAUUUAAAUUUGUUCAUCUACCAUUUUGUAACAUACAAUUCUGGCUCCUCUCACUAUCGGAAGAUCACAUGUUAUGGAAUUUGUCACCAUAUCUAAUCUUCAGUAUUUGUGCCUCUGAUAAUAAAGAAGGUGGAAUUCCGCUCGCUGGCUCUUUUCUCCUGCCCAGUUUGUUCCUUACUGACUGAUGGAGUCCUUGGUGAUCUAUCUCGGCAAGGUCAAGAGAGUAUAAUUAGCAGAGGGAUUAAAAAGAUGCUCUGCUUCAUGCGCCCACUCUUCCUUGCGCGGUCUUCUUCCGAAUGCAUCUCACAUCUCCUGGCUCCCGGCUGGCUGAUGGGCGUGCGCUGCUCCUGCCGACACACACAUGCUUCUGCGCUUUCCCUGAGAGUGGAGCAUUAGCAACUGCAGCUUUAAAAAAGACAGAAAAAGCAUGCCCGUUUCCCCAGCUGGUGAACCUUCAGCAGCCACUGCCUGACGUUGUGGCGAGGAAGACAGCUCCAGAGGCAAGUUCCAGAAGAACUUGGUUGCACUUUGGGGUGGCCACUGUGACUCCUCUAGCGCUGGGCACCUUUCCAAAAGUCCUGGCAUUCAAGGCUCAUCGAGCUGUGUGUCGGGGUAGAAUGCUGGCUGUCUCUGAAAGUGGAAGAGUUCACAACUCAAGGCUUCAAUGA